rnacentral:lncRNA from 1 species
UUAAGAUGAUUGGAGGGCAGCAGCCUAUUGGAAUCCCGAUGAACGUGGAAAGGUGUCAGGGAGGGGUAGCUGUGGUGUGGAGGAGCCCCACAUUUUCGUCCCUGUCUUGUCACAAAGAAGGAGCCCAUCGCUGUGAUUAGAAGGACUUAGAAUUGGGUGCUAAGCAGGCCUCUUCCUACUGAUAGGUGGACACAUCUAUUUCUUUCUGAUGGAUAAAAGUGGAUUCCUGAAUAUGUGAUAUGCCUCUCUGGGGACCUGUGGAAUGACAUUUUGCAUGU